rnacentral:rRNA from 1 species
UGGCCUUGACAUACUAAGAACUUUCCAGAGAUGGAUUGGUGCCUUCGGGAACUUAGAUACAGGUGCUGCAUGGCUGUCGUCAGCUCGUGUCGUGAGAUGUUGGGUUAAGUCCCGCAACGAGCGCAACCCUUUUCCUUAUUUGCCAGCGGGUUAAGCCGGGAACUUUAAGGAUACUGCCAGUGACAAACUGGAGGAAGGCGGGGACGACGUCAAGUCAUCAUGGCCCUUACGGCCAGGGCUACACACGUGCUACAAUGGUCGGUACAAAGGGUUGCUACCUCGCGAGAGAAUGCUAAUCUCAAAAAGCCGAUCGUAGUCCGGAUCGCAGUCUGCAACUCGACUGCGUGAAGUCGGAAUCGCUAGUAAUCGCGGAUCAGAAUGCCGCGGUGAAUACGUUCCCGGGCCUUGUACACACCGCCCGUCACACCAUGGGAGUUUGUUGCACCAGAAGUAGGUAGUCUAACCGCAAGGAGGACGCUUACCACGGUGUGGCCGAUGACUGGGGUGAAGUCGUAACAAGGUAAGCGUAGAUGA